rnacentral:rRNA from 1 species
GAUCAUGGCUCAGGAUGAACGCUAGCUACAGGCUUAACACAUGCAAGUCGAGGGGCAGCAUGGUCUUAGCUUGCUAAGGCCGAUGGCGACCGGCGCAUGGGUGAGUAACGCGUAUUCAACCUGCCUUACACUCUUGGACAGCCUUCUGAAAGGGAGAUUAAUACAAGAUGUUAUCAUGAGUAAGCAUUUUCACAUGAUUAAAGGUUUACCGGUGUAAGAUGGGGAUGCG